GGAGAGGUGCCAGAGUGGUUUAAUGGGUCGGUUUGCUAAACCGUUGUACGGCCUAAAACCUGUACCGGGGGUUCGAAUCCCCCCUCUCCG
rnacentral:tRNA from 1 species